GAGCCCCCUGUUUACAUUCUGGUACCUUUCAAUGAUCCAGAUUUUGGGCCACUUAUAAAGACUACAGACCCAAAUGUCUUCAAGAAUGCUAUCAAUUCACUAUCAGCAGAUGGUGGAGGAGAUUUUCCGGAAAUGAGUCUUUCAGGGCUUCAGCUGGCUUUAACUGGUGCUCCUCCUAAUUCUGAGAUCUUCCUCUUCACGGAUGCACCUGCUAAAUAUAUCGACCUGAAAAGCACAGUGACAGCACUCAUAGAGCGCACCAAGUCAGUGGUGA